UACAGAGGGGGCAAGCGUUAUUCGGAAUUAUUGGGCGUAAAGGGCGCGUAGGCGGCCAUUCAAGUGACGGGUGAAAGCCCUCGGCUUAACCGAGGAACUGCCUGUCAGACUGGAUGGCUCGAGACCGGGAGAGGUGAGUGGAAUUCCCAGUGUAGCGGUGAAAUGCGUAGAUAUUGGGAGGAACACCAGUGGCGAAGGCGGCUCACUGGACCGGAACUGACGCUGAUGUGCGAAAGCGUGGGGAGCAAACAGG
rnacentral:rRNA from 1 species